UGUUUUUUAUUAAAACCAAAAUUUAGAAGUAUAUUUUGCAAUUUAAUCACACAAACCGCACUUUUGCUGACACGGAUCGCGACAACUAGAGUAUUUAAAUUUAGAUAAAAACGGAGCGUCCGCAGUUGGAGUGUCUUGUUUCGCCAAAACGCGCCAAAA